GAUGAACGCUGGCGGCGUGCCUAAUACAUGCAAGUCGAGCGAAAGGACGCGACGCUUGCGUUUCUGAUGUUAGCCGCGGGCGGGUGAGUAACACGUGGAUCACCUACCUAUAAGACUGGUAUCACUUCGGGACACCGGAGCUUAUAUCAUAUAAUCUUUUGCACCGCGUGGGUCAAAGGUGAAAGUCGGUCUUUGUGUCACUUAUCGCUGGAUCCGGGCUGCAUGAGCUAGUUGUGAGGUUAACGGCUUACCAAGGCAACGAUGCAUAGCCGACCUGAGAGGGUGGUCGGCGACACUGGAACUGAGACACGGUCCAUGCUCCUACGGGAGGCAGCAGUAGGGAAUCUUCCGCAAUGGGCGGAAGCCUUGCGGAGCAACGCCGCGUGAGUGAUGAAGGUCUUCGGAUCGUAAAACUCUGUUAUUAGGGAAGAACAUCUGUGUAAGUAACUGUGCCCAUCUUGACGGUACCUAGUCAGAAAGCCCCGGCUAACUACGUG
rnacentral:rRNA from 1 species